GGUUAGCCCAACGAGAACUGGGAGUAACACCUGGAAACAGAUGCUAAUACCGGAUAACAACACUAGACGCAUGUCUAGAGUUUAAAAGAUGGUUCUGCUAUCACUCUUGGAUGGACCUGCGAUGCAUUAGCUAGUUGGUAAGGCAACGGCUUACCAAGGCAAUGAUGCAUAGCCGAGUUGAGAGACUGAUCGGCCACAUUGGGACUGAGACACGGCCCAAACUCCUACGGGAGGCAGCAGGU
rnacentral:rRNA from 1 species